AUGUCUGGGGAUGAAGACAGAUAUCCCGAGGCGCAACUGGUCACGGAGGCCGGGCCCAACUGGCUCCGCGCCGAGAUCGAGCGCUUGUCCCGGGAGCUCAGCGAGACGACCCGGGAGAAGAUCCAGGCGGCGGAAUACGGGCUGGUGGUGCUGGAGGAAAACCAACAGCUGAAACAACGCUUUGAAGAUCUUGAAGGCGAUUAUGAGACCGUCAGACAAGAGCUGGAUCAACUUAAAGAGGCGUAUGGCCAGGUUCACUCCACCCACAGAAAGGUGGCAGCAGAUGGCGAGAGCAGGGAGGAAUCUCUUAUCCUGGAAUCGGCAUCUAAAGAGGCGUAUUAUGAGCAGAGAAUGCAAGAACUACAGGCCGACCUGCGGCAAACGAAAAACAGUCUCACCAGCACACAGGGAGAGAACGAACGUCUGGCCACCCUUGCGCUGGAACUAAGAGAGAAUAAUGAGAUAGUUGAGCUACAGCGCAGCCGUCUGCGUGAUGACAUCAGAGAGUACAAGAUCCGAGAGUCACGUCUGCUGCAGGACUACUCGGAGUUGGAGGAAGAAAACAUCAGCCUACAGAAACAAGUCUCUACCCUUAAACAGGGUCAGGUGGAAUUUGAGGGACUCAAGCACGAAAAUCGCCGGUUGGAGGAGGAAGUGCAGUACCUGAACAGCCAGCUAGAAGACGCUGUUCGGUUACGCGAGAUAGCUGAGCGUCAGCUAACGGAGGCUCUAGAAACCGUAAAGACGGAACGGGAGCAGAAAGCUGCUCUUAGAAAAGAACUGACCCAUCACAUGACCCUAGGAGACUCACUCCUAGCAAGCUCAUUGGAUGGGCUUAAACUGAGUACAGACGAACCUAAUAAUGAUGACGCAAUUAUGACAUUUGAAAAUGGAUUUGCCAAAGUCGCUGACGGUAACGAUGAAGAUAACAGAUUGUCCGUACCCAAGAGAGGUGAAAACGUCCGUCCUGCACCAAGUCUGGUGGAUGACUUGUUGAGCGAGCUGAACAUCUCUGAGAUCCAGAAACUCAAGCAACAGCUCUUACAGGUCGAGCGGGAGAAGGUGGCUCUACUAACUACUCUACAGGAUUCUCAAAAACAGUUAGAACAAGCUCGAGGUGCGUUAGCUGAACAGCAGGAAGCUAUGACGAGACUUAGUGACGAUUUGGGGGUCAUGAGGAGACUGCAGGUAGGCAAGGAGCGUCAGUCGGCCCUUGACAGCGAGCGGGAGCGGGACAGUCGAGAGGACAACGAUGCUGAUUAUUAUGAGCUGGAUAUCAACGGUCCAGAAAUACUGCGUUGCAAGUAUGAAGUAGCUAUAACAGAGGCAGGCGACCUUAGGGAGGAGCUUAAGGGAUUAAAGGCGGAGCAUGAUGAGAUGAAAGAGGAGCAUGAGGAGGUACGGGCACGACUAGAGGGACAAGUUCGUGACCUCACCAUCCAAGUAUCUCAGUUGGAGGGCAUCAGCCGUGCAGACCGUGACCAGGUCGUUCGCCUGGAAAAGAAACUAAAGGAAGUGAGCGCAGUUGCGGGCGAGACAGAAGGGAGUCUUAGCGUUGCCCAGGAUGAACUUGUCGCCUUUAGCGAAGAGCUCGCAAACCUCUACCACCACGUUUGCAUGUGCAACAACGAAACCCCAAAUCGUGUUAUGCUUGAUUAUUACAAAGAGGGUAAAGGAAACAAAACUGAAAAACAUAAACAUAGUCGGUCUACACUGACGCAAACUAACGAUAGCACGGCCCAGGCACCCGAGUCCAACUCCACAACCGUGGACAGUUCUACUUCUGUGACACCAGUCAAAGAAGACCCACGUCCUGAACCGAUGGACAUCUACAACCUGGUAGCGAUAAUUCGGGAUCAGAUUCGUCACUUGCAGAAGGCAGUGGAUCGCACCACAGAGCUUUCCAGGCAAAGAGUUGCCUCUCUAGAGUUGGCUGCGGUGGCGGAUAAAGAUCAAGCUGCUUGCAUGGAAGAGAUUUUGAAGCUCAAAUCCUUGCUGAGCACUAAGAGAGAACAGAUUGCCACGCUGAGGACUGUCCUCAAGGCCAACAAACAGACAGCUGAGGUGGCCUUGGCUAACUUAAAGAGCAAAUAUGACAACGAGAAGGCCAUGGUCACCGAGACCAUGAUGAAACUAAGGAACGAGUUGAAGGCACUUAAAGAAGACGCAGCCACCUUCUCCUCUCUCAGGGCCAUGUUUGCCACCAGAUGUGAUGAGUACGUAACCCAACUGGACGACAUGCAGAGGCAGCUGGCUGCAGCUGAAGAUGAGAAAAAAACUCUUAACUCCCUCCUACGAAUGGCCAUCCAGCAGAAACUGGCACUUACCCAGCGCCUGGAGGAUCUGGAAUUUGACUACGAGCAAGCUCGACGAGGAUCUGGUUCUGGGCCGGGUGGCCGUGGGAAGGCUCGGUCUGGGCGUGGCAACGGACCGUCUUCGUUUUCCAGCCCCCAUUGACGCUAAAUCACUGUAGCGUGCAUGACUGUCUGUUGCUAGCAAUACUUGAGUUGCAUGUUAAUACCGGCAUGUUAGUUCUCUGCUUCCUGCAGUCCACUGCAUGAGGCAGAUGGGUCUGAUCUGUUGACCAUCACUCUCACGUAAUUUUAUUUUAGGUGUGAAGAUUUAAGUGUGGUUAUUUUACUCUAUGCGUCCAGAAUACACAAAAUGCAUCCCUGGUCCAGUUACGGAAAUGAAUUUUUCCCCUGGAUGUGACUUCAAGAAAAACAGGCUCCCAUUUACAGCCAGUUGAUCUCUGAAUUUGACUGUUAUAUCUGUACUGUGGUAAUCUUCAACUUCUGUUUUUAUUUUUCUGCUUUGUUGUUGUUUUUAUGUAACUUGUGCACUUUUGGGUGCAUUCGUUAAUGUUAUGAGAUGCACGUUUCAGUAUAGCACAUUUUUCUGUUGCAAAUUGUACCUAUUUAACUGAAGAAAAAAAGAUAAUAUAAGAACUUUUGUUUAUAGUAUUCGAAAGGCAUAACUGCCAGGUUUUGAGCAUAACCCAGGGAGGAACAAAUAAGGUAUAUCUUUAUGUUUUUGGUCUUGAAUAGCCAAACUUUUUAACAUUAGCUAGACAUGUAGUGUCACUCCACUAAAACAACAAAGACUUUGACUUGCUCCUAAAUAUUUUUGGAGUCACAGAUGUGUUAAAUUUACAACGUAGAAAAUAAUCAUGAAUUCCAAAUUGGAAUUUUUGUUACUUUAUUUUGCCAAGUUUUUUUGUGGUUCACAAUGCGAUACAAUAUUUGUUUUCAGACAUUGAUUACUUUCUAUUUUGACUAACUCUCAUCUUAAGCCUCAUGUGCCUUUUAUGCAGCAGGUUUUGUGUUUUCAUGAACAAUUCUGAGAGCCAUAAUCUUACGUUUCUGCUGUUUGUCUGUCUCACUACAGAUGUAACCAGCCUGAUCUCAUGAGAAUUCAUAUGUAUUUUAAGAGUUGGCUAAUUUGUAUGAAGUGAAUCGUACAAAAACAAAAUAGGAUUAUUAUAAAAACAAUAAUGAAACCACACCCCUAACCCCAACGUCACAUGUGGUCAUUUGAAUUAGCCAUGUCGUAAAAUACAUGCCAUGAGAUGGCAUUAGAUUUCACUCAUUUGGCUCUGUAACUUUGGCAUAUUGUCAGUAUGCAGACAUCUGAUUUUGUUAUUAAGCACAAUUUUUGAAGGUCAGAGUCUGUCAGAUAUUUUGUAUAGGAAAACAGUUUUAAAUGUUAGUUGGGUGUAGUAAAAUCAUACAUUCCUUGAGAAAGUAAUGAUUGCUGAUGGUGGUCACAAUGUCAUUGUUUGUCAUUAUUUUCUUGUUUGUAACCGUGCUAUCUAAUUGUUUGUAUUUCAGCAAGCAGAAAACUUUUUGUGCCAUUUCAAAUUUAGGACAUUGUCAAAUUUCGGUUUUCUUUUGACCACAAAUUAAGUGCAAUUUUGUACCGUUUCUGUCUCUUCUAUAGUUUUCUAUUUGCUGAAAACCACUUCAUCAGCCAUGACAUAGUUUUAUGUUACAUUUCAGUAUAUUUUUACACAUUUGUAUGGAAUGACCUCACAUAUGUUUGUUUGUAUUUAUUCAUAACCUUGGCUAUCGGUUCAGUAUUAAUGACUAAGUUUAUAUGCAUAUUAACUGGGGCUGCCUUUCUUUGCAUUUCUACUUGAAUUUUUACAGGUGAAGUGUAUAAACUAUGCUGCCUGUUUUUUUUUGUUUUUUUUUUUAACAUUGCUGAUGUCAACAUUGUGUUUUUUCUAAACGUUUGUGCUUGAGACUCUGUAGUUCAACAUGCAGAAGACUUUAUAGGAAAAAAAUAAACUAAUGUAAAAUA